AAUGAACGCUGGCGGCAGGCCUAACACAUGCAAGUCGAACGAAGCCUUCGGGCUUAGUGGCGGACGGGUGAGUAACGCGUGGGAACAUACCCAAAGGUACGGAAUAGCCUCGGGAAACUGGGAGUAAUACCGUAUGUGCCCUUUGACUGUAGUGGUUGGAGGGGAAAGAUUUAUCGCCUUUGGAUUGGCCCGCGUUGGAUUAGGUAGUUGGUGGGGUAAUGGCCUACCAAGCCGACGAUCCAUAGCUGGUUUGAGAGGAUGAUCAGCCACACUGGGACUGAGACACGGCCCAGACUCCUACGGGAGGCAGCAGUGGGGAAUCUUAGACAAUGGGCGCAAGCCUGAUCUAGCCAUGCCGCGUGAUUGAUGAAGGCCUUAGGGUUGUAAAGAUCUUUCAGAUGGGAAGAUAAUGACGGUC
rnacentral:rRNA from 1 species